rnacentral:misc_RNA from 1 species
GGUAGCCGGGAUAGCCGAGACGAGGUCAGCACCAUAGACCUCGCACCUGCCGAUUUCGGCGACAGGCUGGAGGGUAUCUAGGGUGAAAGCGACAAUGGCGCUGGCAUUACGGCGGCUCGACUCGAAGCUAGAGAAGAGAUGAUCCGGUGAGGAGGUGAUUGCUUGGACGGUGGAGGAGGCGGAGGUGACGGAAGGGUGGCUGU